rnacentral:lncRNA from 1 species
AGCCUCCUUUGCCGCAUUUGUGAUGAUCCUCUUUCUGGUAACAACUGGUGCAGAUUUUGGAGAUGGUGAUGGUGAUGGAGAUACUGCUGAUGAUUGACGAUGAAGAUGAUGAAGAUCAAGUGAUCUCUGUUUCUUGAUGGGCCCGCUUGGUUGCAGCUGCAUAGUGCCCCUCAGACACCCACCAUAUGGAUUAUGACUGUUUUUUGAUGAAAUCUUUUUCUUGAUGCUGAUCUUGGUAAUUGGGUGGUCUUGAUCUUGGGAUUCCUUUUUGCAUGAGGAUGAAGAAUUUGAGGAGUUUUGGGUGUCCUCCUUCUGGGUGAGGCACCAAUUGCAGAUUCUGUAGGACUCAGCAUUUGGGUAAAGAUUGCUGCAGUACCUGCACAUAGGAAAUCUGAUUACAGUUAAACUUCAGUUUAGUUAGAUCAUAACCCAUAAAUUAAAAGAUCAAAUUAAAAAUGUUCAUAUAAUUAAACAAAAAAGAGAGUGGUUUUGUUAAACUGGGGACCUGUGCUGAGAUCUGAAUUGGCAAACCUUGCAAACAAAGAGCUCAUAGGAGAAGCCAAAAUCCCCACACAUGCAGCACUCAUGGCUGCCUGCUGCUUGCUCUUGGACUUGGACUACUGAUGAUGCGUUGUUGUUUCCUUUGCUACUCGUUGUCAUAUUGUUGUUGCAGAGGGGAGGGAGGGGGAGAGAGAGAGAGAUGAAUGAUGAGGGAGGGAUUUUUUUGGGUAGGCCGACGGCCACACAACAAAAGCCACAAAACGUGUAGUGUUUUAUUGGGAUUCUUAAUUAAAUAAAGUAAUAUAUAAAAUAUACACAUCAUUUUCAUUUUUGGUACGGCCGUGUGUAGAACGUGACACCUUUAUUUAUUUUUGGUAAUAAAGCAAACAAAAACAAUGGUAAAGUUAAAUAUGAGCAUGUAAGCACGGUAAAAGGAGUGUGGCGAAAUCAUUUUCUAACUUAUACUAUCAUAAUUUCGUUUGUUAAAAAAAAACUAGUACUAUCAUGAUUUCAUUACAAUAAAAAAAUUUCGUUGGAGAGAAAGAAUAAAGAAUGAGGCUUUACAAUUGGUAUUGGUAUAUAAAUUUUUCCAGCUAUAAAUUCUCUAUAUUUUUCUUUUUCUUCUUUAGAUAUAAAGGUCCUUUUCUUGUACAAAAAUAAUGGUGAUUUUCCAUGAUUGACAAAAGUAAAAAAAUAAAUAUAAAAUUCAUGGUGGCAUAUGAUACUUUAUCAGAUUAUUGAAAAACAAUAAUGUUAUGUAUAUGCACAGUGAUGUGAGUUCAAUUCUCAUCGAUUUUUCUCAUUUUAAUAACUAACUAUCUAAUUCACUGAUAACAUUGUUGUCCUCAAAAGAGCAUUAUUUUUACAUGAGAAAAGGUUUUACUUCUUACAAGGCUGUCACAAAAGGAGGGGAAAACAAAUAAUUCCUUUUUCUUGUGUGUGAAAUUAUCUGUUACUUGCCCUACAGUCAUUUCUUAUUUGGGAUUGCUUUCUAAUCUCUUUCUGUUGAUUCUGCACUGAAAUGGUAAAAGAAAAAGCUUCUGCAUGCACCGAUUCCAUGCGAGGAACGUAGGUUUUCGUAAUUCUUUUUCUUUCCUUUUUGUUUCGUCACAAAGAAGAGUUAAUAAUUCUAGAUUUUUUGUGGUUUGUCAUACAUGCCUUUUGUGCGAUUUACCUAUAUAUUAAUUAAAUAAAUACCAAUAUUUAAUCCACUCAAAUUAGGGUUUUUUUAAAAAAAUUAUUUUUUAAACAAAUAAUAUUAUCUACACUAAGAGUCGGGGAUGGGCUGAACCUCAUAAUAAUCUAACAAUAAUAUGGUUCAAAUUCGCUUUUGGCAAGAAUUGAACUUAAGACCUCUCACUUACAAAUGAAGAGGAAUACCAUUAGACCGUAGUACUAAGUGACACUCAAAUUAGGGUAUUUGAUUAUUAAGUAUCUCUUAAUUAUCUUUGUGAUAUUUAAAGAAAAUCCUUAAAAAACUAUUCUUAGAAUUUUCAUGGACGUAUCUAUCUUUCUACUCUGUUCCCAACUACGGGCUUUCAGGAAGAAAGAAGAGACAAAGAGAAAAUCUCUCUCGGUAUUUGUUUUAACAAACGAUAUUAUCUACAAGGAAUGGGUGGACUUAGCCUCUCAAUGGGCUAGUAAUAAUGUAGUUUAAAUUCGUUUUUGGCGAGAAUUGAACCUAUAACCUCUCACUUACAAAUGAAGCAGAAUACCACUAGACCGUAGUACUAAGUGACAAAUCUCUCUCAGUAUUAGACAGGAGAGAUAAAGCUCUCUACUCUUAUAGUUCAUAUAUAUUUUUUCAGUUUAAUCUCUAGGGUUAUCAUCUCAAUCCUAGGACUUGGGAGGCGAAAGUUCAAAGAGACCUCCUUUUACGUAGCCAACCUAAGGAUUUGCAAGAUUCUGGAUGUGCCUGAAGGCUCAUUUCUUGGUUCGUGUUUGUGUUUCACCAAGCUUGCAGUGUUUCUAGGAACGUGUAGUGAUCCAAAUUUUUUAGCAAAAGGUUCAUGGAAAGUCUCACUUUGAGAGAAUCAUCUUAAUAUUUCUCAUCAAAAGGAUUAAUUAUAAGAUACUUACAAGUGACAAUAGACUAAUUGGCUUUAUGUACUUACAAGUGACAAUAGACUAAUUGGCUUUAUGUAACCAAUGAACGAGUUAGGGAUUUUCUUAUAUUAUUAAAGGUAAAGAUUGAUUAGCUUCUCGAGGAAAUGGGGUUGGAAAUUGUAGUUCGAAUGAUAUAAACGUUGGACGUUGGACCAUAAUCUAACGAUUAAUAGGUCUACACAGUUAAUUUAAGGUAUGCUUGGAAUAUAAAUAAAAUUAGGAUUUAGUUAAUAGCUAUAGAUUGUACCCCAAGUAAAGUUAAUAUAUUCCGGAUUUCCUUGGGGAAUAAGGGCUCCUAAUUCUAUCUUAUUUGGAAUGAGAUUUGGUGUAUCAAUUAUCCUUGGACUGCAAGGAAUCCUAAUGACAUUAUUAUGGGAAGAUUCAUUAGGGUUAAGUCCAUAUAAAUACAAGGCUAAGGUCUCUGCUUACAACACAUAGAAAACUCAUAUGAACGCCCCAUUAGUUCGAGUAUAAAGGAUUGUUGAGUGUGCAGAAGAUUUUGGUCAACUAACACAUUAUUCCACAGGAUUCCAAUACAAUUUCCACCGAAGGAGAAGUCCAUGGUUGACCCUAUUCCGCACGGUUCUAUCCAAGAUGGUUCAUCUUUCCUACAUGCCAUGUUGACUUCAAGUACUUUAUCAAAUGAGCAUAAUUUAUGGAUUUUUUCAGGUUAGUGUUUUUAGUUGUUUAUGAAAUAUAUAAAGUCUAAUAGUUGGUAUCAGAGCAGGUCAUAAUACAACUAAAGACCUACUCGGUAAACCCUAAAAGUUAAUGUCUUGAAUCCAUGACAUGUUUUAAAUUUUGCUCAAUUUCCGUAUUCAUGUUUCACGGUAAAAGAAAUUGGUUUUCAAUAUGAAUUGCGUUUUAACCUAAAUUUCAUAUUGAAAUUUGAGAUAGCUAUGUAUUAAAACUUGUCCUUUUGACUUAAAGGAAUAUUACAGACUAUUAAUUGAUAUUGCAUCCUAUUUCGAUUUCAUUAUCCCAUUGGGUUUAUACAUCUUUAUUAGCUUUAUCAAAACUACCUUAAUUGAGUCUCCAAUGUGGUUGUGGACAUAUAAUUGGGAUGUUAAAAUUAAAAAGUUAUGAAACAGGCAUUAAUGUUAUAAACAGGCUAAAUUUAGAGAGAUGACAUUUACUCGGGACAAGAACGAAGCAGUUGCAGAGUAUUAUACUAACACAAGCUGUUGCAGAGGAAGUAAUGUAUAUUAUUGCUAUUAGAUGUUUUUCUCUUCCUUUUCUCUUCUUAAUGUUCUUCCAUCAUUUGAACAAUCUAAGUGCUCUAUUUAUAAAGCCACUUCAAUGGAAAAUUAAAAAAGGAUUACUAUUUAGCUUGUGAGUUUAUACUAUACACAUGUGAUAUUUUACUAUACACAUGUGGACAAACAUACCCACUAUUUACAACACUUCCCCUUGGAUGCCCACAUAUCAAUAUCAGUUGCCUCAUUAAAACCUUGCUUGGAAAAACCCAGUGAGAAAAACCAUAGCGAAGGAAAAAGAGUACAACUUUACCUGGAUGGUGUUGAGCAUGCUUAUGUUGCCUCGUUAAAAUCUUGAUAGGAAAACCCAGUGGGAAAAAUCCUAAUCGAAGGAAAAAGAGGACAACAUACAUGUAUCAUGGAUACUCCCCCUGAAUUGUUUCUCCCCUUGAUUCUGCAUUCUUCAAAUUUGUAAGCCGACGUAAUCCUAUUCCCUGCACCAACUUUUGAAAUGUGCACUUUGGUAGAGAUUUGGUGAAAAAGUCUGCUAAAUUUUCAUUGGAACAUAUUUGUCCGACUUCAAUAACUUUACCUUUUUGAAGCUCAUGUGCACUGAAAAAUCUUGGAGAUAUGUGUUUAGUCUUGUCACCUUUGAUGAAUCAUUCCUUCAUCUGGGCAACACAGGCUGCAUUAUCUUCAUGGAUGACCGUUUGAGUGUCUUUCUUUGAAGGUAGACCACAUGAAUUCCGGAUGUGAUGGAUCAUUGAUCUUAAUCAAGAACAUUCACGACUUGCUUCAUGUAAAGCAAUUAUUUCCGAGUGAUUGGAAGAUGUAGCAACUAGCGUUUGCUUCGUUGAUCGCCAUGAAAUUGCAGUAUCUCCAUAAGUGAACACAUAUCCAUUUUGUGAGCGGGCUUUAUGCAGAUCGAAGAGAAAACCAACAUCUGCGUAUCCAACAAGGAUCUGAUCAUUUGUGAGCUUGUCAGAGUAGAAGAGACCCAUAUCUGUUGUCCCAUGAAGGUAUCGUAGAACAUCUUUGACUUAUUUCCAAUGACGAAUUGUUGGAGCAGAGCUGUACCUGGCUAACAAGUUAACUGAAAAAGCUAUAUCUGGUAUAGUACAUUGUGCUAAAUACAAUAAAGCACCUAUUGCGCUUAAAUAUGGUACUUCUGGACCAAGGACCAAUUCAUCAUUUUCUUUUGGACGAAAUGGAUCUUUCUUAAUGUCCAAAGAACGAACGACCAUUGGAGUGCUAAGUGGAUAAGCCUUGUCCAUGCCAAAUCACUUCAGUAUCUUUUCAAUGUAAGCUGAUUGAUGGACCAAAAUUCCAUUAGCACAAUGCUCAUCUGCAGGCCGAGACAAUAUUUUGUUUUCCCAAAGUCUUUCAUUUCAAAUUCGCUUUUCAGAUAUUCAGCAGUUUUAUUGAGCUCUUCAGGGGUUCCAACUAGGUUCAUAUCAUCGACGUAUACUGCCACUAUAGCAAAUCGAGUAUUUGAUUUCUUAAUGAACACACAAUGGCAGAUGACAUUGUUGGCAUAUCCUUCUUUAAUCAAAUACUCACUGAGACAAUUAUACCACAUUCGCCCAGAUUGUUUCAACCCAUAUAGUGAUCGCCUUAAUUUGAUUGAGAACAUACCUCGUGGUUUGUUAGUUGCUUCAGGCAACUUAAGUCCUUCUGGGACUUUCAUAUAUAUGUCAGUAUCUAAUUCUCCAUAUAGAUACGCGGCGAUGACAUCCAUAAGUCGCAUGUCAAGUUUUUCUGAAAUCACCAAACUUAUUAAGUAACGGAACGUAAUUGCGUCCAUUAUAGGAGAGUAUGUCUCUUUAUAAUCAAUUCCAGGUCUUUGUGAAAAACCUUGUGCAACGAGUCUUGCUUUAUAUCUUGCAAUCUCGUUUUUCUCGUUACGUUUCCUUGUGAAUACCCAUUUGUAACCUACGGGGUUCACACCAGGCAGGGUUUGGACUAUUGGUCCAAAAACACUUCGUCUUUCCAAGGAAUUUAAUUCUGCCUGGAUUGCAUCUUUCCACUUAGGCCAAUCUUGUCUCUGUCUGCAUUCAUCAACAGAGCGGGGCUCAAUAUCAUCACUUAAGAUAAUUUCAGUGGCUAUUGCAAAUGCAAACAUGUCGUCGAUGAUUAUUUCAUUUCGAUCCCACAAUUCAUUAGUACAUGCAUAAUUUAUGGAUAUUUCUUUGCUUUUAUGUACUUCUGUCUCUUCAGGGACAGAUGUCUCAUCAAGGACAUUUUCUUUUUCUAGAAGUACAGAAUCAUGAAUUAUGGAUUUAUCAUUCAAUUUCUUUUCUUGAAUGAUUUCAUUUAGGUUCAAUUGUGCCCUCAUCUUUCUCUUUCGAGGGGCUGAAUCUUUUGAACGUGGGGGUCUACCACGCUUCAGGCGUGCACUAGAGGAAUCAUUCGUUGCCACUUUAUUUUGUCCAACAGGGACAUCAAUUCUUGCAGGUGCAUUUGCAACUGGUAUAUGUGACUUUGUCACUUUCGAAGCAUCAUUAAAAGCAUCUGGCAUUUGAUUAGUGAUACCUUGAAGAUGAACGAUUAUUUUCACUUCAUUUUCACAUUAAGUGCUUCGUGGAUCAAAAUGAGAUAAGGUGGGAACAACCCAUGUUAGUUCUUACUGUUCUUCUGGAACGGUCUUUUCUCCCCCUAACGACGGGAAAACUGUCUCAUCAAAAUGACAAUCAGCAAAACGAGCCGUAAACAUAUCACUAGUCAAAGGUUCCAAAUAUCUAAUGAUAGAUGAUGAAUCAAAACCUACAUAAAUUCUCAGUCUACGCUGAAGUCCCAUUUUAGUUCGUUGUGGCGGUGCAAUAAGCACAUAAACAGCACAACCAAAAACUCGUAAAUGGGAAAUGUUUGGCUGUUAUCCAAACAUGAGUUGUAUUGAUGAAUAUUGGUGGUUGGCUAUGGGUCUCAAUCUAACCAAUGAUGCAUAAUGUAAUAUGGCAUGUCCCCAUGCAGAGACUGGCAAUUUCGUUUUCAUGAGCAGAGUGCGGGCUAUUAAUUGAAGCCGCUUAAUAAAUGCCUCUGCUAAACCAUUUUGAGUAUGGACAUGAGGAACAGGGUGUUCAACAUCAAUGCCUAGUGCCAUACAGUAAUCAUCAAAGGUUUGAGACGUAAAUUCACCAGCGUUAUCAAGUCGAAUGGACUUAAUAGGAUGAUCUGGGAACUGUGCUCGCAACUUAAUUAUCUGAGCAAGAAGUCUCGCAAAAACUACAUUUCGAGUAAAUAAUAGGCAAACAUGUGACCAUCGGGUAGAUGCAUCAACCAAAACCAUAAAAUAUCGAAAUGGUCCACAAGGUGGGUGAAUAGGUUCACAAAUAUCCCUUUGAAUUCUUUGCAAAAAUGAUGGGGCUUCAUCAUCAACCUUUAGUUGUGAUGGUCUAAUUACCAACUUCCCUUGGGAACAAGCCUUGCAAGGGUUAUCAUUUGAGACAUCAAUAUGUCUGCUCAAUAAUGGAUGUCCAUUAGAGUUGGUAAUGAUUCUACGCAUCAUGGUAGAUCCUGGAUGACCUAGACAAUCAUGCCAAAGCAUGUAAACCUUUGAAUCAAUGAACUUCUGGUUCAUAACAGUAUAUGCCUCAACUGUCUUUAUGUAUGUAUAAUACAAUCUACUCGAUAAAUCAUGCAACUUCUCCAAUAUACGCUUCUGGGUAUCAUUGGAGGUAAUGCAUAAAUAUUCCACAUUUUCUACACUUUUCGUUUCAAUGUGGUGUCCAUUUAGACGUAUGUCUUUAAAACUUAACAAAUUUUGAAUGGAUCGAGUAGCAUAUAAUGCAUUCUUUAUAGACAAUAUUGUUCCAUUUGGUAACAUAAUCUGGGCUUUUCCUGAGCCUUCAAUUACAUCUGAUUGCCCUGAUAUUGUUGUUACCUUUACUUUUGCAAGUACCAAAUUCGAGAAAUACUUUCGAUCUCGAAGUAUUGAAUGCAUGGUUGCGCUGUUUGCAAGACAAAAUUCUCCGCCAUUGCUCUUGUUUUGAGAAUAACCAUAAUUUUUAUCCAUGUUCUCUGAGUAAAGAAAAAGCAGUUUAUUCAUACUAUAAUACUACUUUUAUUGAAUUGAAAAUGCGAGCAUUAAACCACAAGUACAAAUAACAGGAGUACAUUAAACAUAACUAAUUCAAUCGGACCCAUAAACUUCAUUCCCUCUUUCAUUAAUAAAGUAUGUAGCAUCCAGGUGGGUUGUGUUUAACUGUCCUGAUAAAUUGGUCACUGGAUCAGGGGUUUCCAUUGGUUGAGCCAGGUCGAAGAAAUUGAUCUCGACACCCUUCUCCUUGAAGGAGGCUUGAUACAGCUCCACCAGAUGCUUUGGGGUGCGACAAGUACGUGCCCAAUGUCCGUUGCCACCACACCUAUGACAACCUCCUUCAUGAUUUCUAGGAGUGUUCACAUGAGCUUUUCCUUUCUGGCGAUUUGCAUUUUUAAAGCUCGAGCCUAGAUUAUGCCUUGGAACUUGGUUGUGAAACUGGACACCAUGGUUCAUGCCUUUCCCUUUCCACCGGCCUUGCUUGUGGCCACGUCCUCGUUUGUAAUUAUUGCCAUGGGAGGAUAUGGUAUUCCUUUUAAGGGAAGCAUCAUUCACUUCUGGGAACGGU